rnacentral:rRNA from 1 species
AGGCUAAAUACUCCUGACUGACCGAUAGUGAACCAGUACCGUGAGGGAAAGGCGAAAAGAACCCCUGUGAGGGGAGUGAAAUAGAUCCUGAAACCGCAUGCAUACAAGCAGUGGGAGCACCUUCGUGGUGUGACUGCGUACCUUUUGUAUAAUGGGUCAGCGACUUAUAUUCAGUAGCAAGGUUAACCGUAUAGGGGAGCCGUAGAGAAAUCGAGUCUUAAUAGGGCGUUUAGUUGCUGGGUAUAGACCCGAAACCAGGCGAUCUAUCCAUGAGCAGGUUGAAGGUUGGGUAACACUAACUGGAGGACCGAACCCACUGUCGUUGAAAAGCCAGGGGAUGACUUGUGGAUAGGGGUGAAAGGCUAAUCAAGCCUGGUGAUAGCUGGUUCUCCCCGAAAGCUAUUUAGGUAGCGCCUCGGACGAAUACCAUAGGGGGUAGAGCACUGUUUCGGCUAGGGGGUCAUCCCGACUUACCAAACCGAUGCAAACUCCGAAUACCUAUGAGUACUAUCCGGGAGACAGACUGCGGGUGCUAACGUCCGUAGUCAAGAGGAAAACAAUCCAGACCGCCAGCUAAGGCCCCAAAAUCAUAGUUAAGUGGGAAACGAUGUGGGAAGGCAUAGACAGCUAGGAGGUUGGCUUAGAAGCAGCCACCCUUUAAAGAAAGCGUAAUAGCUCACUAGUCGAGUCGGCCUGCGCGGAAGAUGUAACGGGGCUAAAA